UACGGAGGGUGCAAGCGUUAUCCGGAUUCACUGGGUUUAAAGGGUGCGUAGGCGGGUAAGUAAGUCCGUGGUGAAAUCUCUGAGCUUAACUCAGAAACUGCCGUGGAUACUAUUUGCCUUGAAUAUUGUGGAGGUGAGCGGAAUAUGUCAUGUAGCGGUGAAAUGCUUAGAUAUCGGGAGGAACACCAGUGGCGAAAGCGGCUCUCUGGUCCUAAACUGACGCUGAGGGGCGAAAGCGUGGGGAGCGAACGGG
rnacentral:rRNA from 1 species